GACGAACGCUGGCGGCGUGCUUAACACAUGCAAGUCGAACGGAAAGGCCCUGCUUUUGUGGGGUGCUCGAGUGGCGAACGGGUGAGUAACACGUGAGUAACCUGCCCUUGACUUUGGGAUAACUUCAGGAGACUGGGGCUAAUACCGGAUAGGAGCUCCUGCUGCAUGGUGGGGGUUGGAAAGUUUCGGCGGUUGGGGAUGGACUCGCGGCUUAUCAGCUUGUUGGUGGGGUAGUGGCUUACCAAGGCUUUGACGGGUAGCCGGCCUGAGAGGGUGACCGGCCACAUUGGGACUGAGAUACGGCCCAGACUCCUACGGGAGGCAGCGGUGGGGAAUAUUGCACAAUGGGCGGAAGCCUGAUGCAGCAACGCCGCGUGCGGGAUGACGGCCUUCGGGUUGUAAACCGCUUUCGCCUGUGACGAAGCGUGAGUGACGGUAAUGGGUAAAGAAGCACCGGCUAACUACGUG
rnacentral:rRNA from 1 species